GGUAUAUAUAGAUAGAUAAAAGAUUAAUCUUUUAAAUGAAUGCAAUAUUUUUAUUAUGCAAUCAUUAUGUAAUCAAUUAUUAUGUAAUUAGUGGCAAAAUCUGGGUAAGUUCACUUGAAUGAAUUUAGCUCUAUCAUCUCUUUAACUAUACAGAAAAUUUUAACGGAAUCUUAAUCAACACACCAUGGGCUUCAAAAGGGUGUCUCAGAUUGUCUCUAUGGUGUUCCAUUCUCUCAGAAAUCUCUAAUUAGUGUAAACAUCCUAACCACAUAAAAGAAGAUAAUGUUCAAUUAGGUGUAAAAUUUGUUCUAUACAUUCUAUCUGAAAUCUGAGACACCCUUUUGUAGAUAAUGGCCAUAGGAACA
rnacentral:lncRNA from 1 species